GCCAAGAAUCAUAAAAGGAUGCACCUAAUGAGGGAGCUGUACAAAUUUGGAACAACUUCCAAAACAGGCAUUCAAGUAUUUUCGUCUGCUACCAGUAAGCUGCCAGAGCAAGAUAGCUGGGAUGUCGAGUCCCUAGGGCAAUGGUGAAUCACAAAUUGCCUGAUGUUCGAUGGGAAGCAUCAAACAAUACCAAUGUCGAGUAGUAAGAUCUGAUUGUUCAGCUGAUCAAGCCAAGAUAAGUGUGUGUGCAUCCCCUUUUAGUCCAGAUUUAGAAAAAUAUGAUUUCUGCUAUGAUAGUUUCCAGAACAGUUUGGCCCUUGAGACACUUCCUUUGUAUGUGUGUGUGGUCCUUUUCUUUCCAAAGAUAUGCAUGUCUAUAGAUAUUAUUGGAAUUGGUUCGACAAACAGUGUAUAUGUGACAAAUUUACUAGUAUACUGAUAUGGAAUGAAAUAAAUAUCCAUGCUUUCUGACACA